CGUAUGCAAUCUACCUUUUACAGAGGGAUAGCCCAGAGAAAUUUGGAUUAAUACCUCAUAGUAUUAUUGAAUGGCAUCAUUUAAUAAUUAAAGUCACAACGGUAAAAGAUGAGCAUGCGUCCCAUUAGCUUGUUGGUAAGGUAACGGCUUACCAAGGCGACGAUGGGUAGGGGUCCUGAGAGGGAGAUCCCCCACACUGGUACUGAGACACGGACCAGACUCCUACGGGAGGCAGCAGUGAGGAAUAUUGGUCAAUGGGCGCAAGCCUGAACCAGCCAUGCCGCGUGCAGGAUGAAGCAUCUAUGGUGUGUAAACUGCUUUUGUACGAGAAGAAACACUCCUACGUGUAGGAGCUUGACGGUAUCGUAAGAAUAAGGACCGGCUAACUCCGUGCCAGCAGCCGCGGUAAUACGGAGGGUCCAAGCGUUAUCCGGAAUCAUUGGGUUUAAAGGGUCCGUAGGCGGUUUUGUAAGUCAGUGGUGAAAGCCCAUCGCUCAACGGUGGAACGGCCAUUGAUACUGCAAGACUUGAAUUAUUGGGAAGUAACUAGAAUAUGUAGUGUAGCGGUGAAAUGCUUAGAGAUUACAUGGAAUACCAAUUGCGAAGGCAGGUUACUACCAAUAUAUUGACGCUGAUGGACGAAAGCGUGGGGAGCGAACAGGAUUAGAUACCCUGGUAGUCCACGCCGUANACGAUGGAUACUAGCUGUUCGGAGCAAUCUGAGUGGCUAAGCGAAAGUGAUAAGUAUCCCACCUGGGGAGUACGUUCGCAAGAAUGAAACUCAAGGAAUUGACGGGGGCCCGCACA
rnacentral:rRNA from 1 species